CAGUCAUGCAGCCAUCAACUCAGCGGUUAGCGUUAGUAAUUUAUUGCUUUCGUUUUUCGUGUACUUUGUUGUCUGCUGGUUAGCAUCAAUUUUGAUUGUCAUAAAAAGGUUAAGGGGAUGUGGCUCCUUCGGGAGUGUUAUAACCCUUAGCGGAAUGUGGCGAUUGGGAUUGAGGAUUGCAACGAAUACCUUUAGGGCAGUUCCGUCUGGUCUCUU
rnacentral:rRNA from 1 species